rnacentral:lncRNA from 1 species
CUUAUAUGUAUAUAUAUAUAAAUUCAAUUAUUCUCUUCAUCAUUUGAAAUUGAUGGAUUGGGAAUAAGGAUAUUAUUCAUGACUCAACCAAGAGAUAUCCUCCGACCUGAAGAAUCAUAAAUGGUUGAACAAAGGAGUCUGAAUUUUAGAAAGUAGACGUAUAAAAUAAUUACCUCUGGCUCAUCGAGAGACAAGUAUUAUGGAAAGUAAAUAUGGUAAAGAAAAUAAUGUCACCCGAAUCAGUUAAGACCAACAAAAUGAAACACCAUUUUGAUGCUAAAUAUCCUAACUUUAUGGACAAGGAUGUCCAUUAUUGUAAGAACUAAGCUGACGGUGUAAAAAAAAAAGAUUUUAUGUUCGUGGCAAGUACCUUCAGCAAAAAAUUGCAGCCAUUGAAGCUUCAUAGUUGGUGGCUUGUGCUGUGCUUGGAGCUGAAUAUACAUGGCAUCCCAUUGCUGGUUGACAGUGCCCAUGAGGUUGUUGAUAUUUGGAUGAAGGACACUUCAGGCCUUGGACUCAACAUGCACCCAUAAAGUGAAGUCCAAUAGGUUGGCAUUUGGGGAGUAGGGGUUCACAUUUUCUUUGGCCAGAAAGGAAAGUUGUCCUACAAUCCCUUCUGGGCCUUUUUGGACGUGUGACAGGCACACCAUCCUGCUGGAACACCAUGUUAGUGUCCAGUUAGUUGAUUUGGAUCCAUGGUAACAUGGCACUCUCCGUUGGUUUCUUGCCAUCCUCCAAAAGUACGCGGAACAAAAUUCGUUGGUCACGUUCAGAUGGUAUUUUCCUCGGCUUCAUAGACACAUAGGAAGAUCUAAUUAUUGUUGUUUAUUUCAUUUUUUGUUUAUGUUUUGUAUUUGACAAAAACCUUGAUUUAUGUGGCAAAAACGAAGUGUAAAUAUUUCUUAGCCGCACCCAGUACAUAUGUGAAACAAAUUUUUCAAGUUUAGUGGUUAUGAAAUCUCUAUACGGGAGAAAAAUUGUUGAAGAAGAUGAUCUGUGUUGUGUUCUUGGAAGGAUUGCACCAAGAAUUUCAGAUCUGGCGAGAAAAUCCCAGCUUUCUCACUGGUUUCGCAAUUCGAACUUUUUGUUCGUUGAAAUAUAAAAAUAAAAUGUUGCUUGGAUAAAAUUAUUAUGAUUCAAUUAUUUAAAAUUUGUAAAUAAAAAAUCAUUGUGGCAAUAAAUUUUCAGUUAUGUAUAA